rnacentral:rRNA from 1 species
CCUACGGGUGGCAGCAGUGGGGAAUAUUGCACAAUGGGGGAAACCCUGAUGCAGCAACGCCGCGUGAGUGAAGAAGUAUUUCGGUAUGUAAAGCUCUAUCAGCAGGGAAGAAAAUGACAGUACCUGACUAAGAAGCCCCGGCUAACUACGUGCCAGCAGCCGCGGUAAUACGUAGGGGGCAAGCGUUAUCCGGAUUUACUGGGUGAAAAGGGAGCGUAGACGGCUGCGCCAGUCAGAAGUGAAAGCACGGGGCUCAACCGCGGGACUGCUUUUGAAACUGUGUAGCUAGAGUGCAGGAGAGGUAAGUGGAAUUCCUAGUGUAGCGGUGAAAUGCGUAGAUAUUAGGAGGAACACCGGUGGAGAAGGCGGCUUACUGGACUGUAACUGACGUUGAGGCUCGAAAGCGUGGGGAGCAAACAGGAUUAGAUACCCUAGUAGUC